CCCCCCCCCCCACAACGCAGCGUGUUCUCCAACUAAUGGGCAUACCCCCCCCACCCCACCUCCCCGACUCAUCAUUGGUUCUUUUUUUACAUUCUCAUCAGGGCUCAGAGUGAUGGAGUGAUUACAUCCUUCAGGGCUGUUCAGUAGCAGCCGGACCAGAACAAGGAUUAAGGCAGAAGGGUUUCCAUGCGGCACAAUCAUCGUGUUCUGAGUAGAAGGAGCCAGAGGCUUCUUCUACCGACAUGCGUUCUUCAUCACUGACAUGCUGGUAAUGCAUGACCCGGGACGUGGGUGUCUGUGUGCGUACAAACAUUUUGAAGGACAGUUGUACAGCUGUAAAGGUCAGUGUGUACACACGAGGAUAGUGUGUGGCACACACUACAUACACAACGUAUAUUUAUUACAAAAUAAAAGUCCCAGCAGCGAUGAAUCCUUCUGGUUGUGCUGGGGUGAAACCGGAGUCACCCAGAGAGAGAGAGGUGUGGGGGUGUGUGUGUGUGUGUGUGUGUGUGUGUGUGUGUGUGUGUGUGUGUGUGUGUGUGUGUGUGUGUGUGUGUGUGUGUGUGUGUG